rnacentral:rRNA from 1 species
UACGUAGGGGGCAAGCGUUGUCCGGAUUUAUUGGGCGUAAAGAGCGUGUAGGCGGCUUUGCAAGUCCGUUGUGAAAACUCGAGGCUCAACCUCGAGACGUCGGUUGAAACCAUCUGGCUAGAGUCCGGAAGAGGAGUGUGGAAUUCCCGGUGUAGCGGUGAAAUGCGCAGAUAUCGGGAAGAACACCCGUGGCGAAGGCGGCACUCUGGGACGGUACUGACGCUGAGACGCGAAAGCGUGGGGAGCGAACAGG